ACAUCUAUUCACCCAUCCAUUCGUUCCUUCGUCUCUACGCACAAAUGAGAGAAGGCUAGGUCGUCGUCGUUGUCAUUGUCGUCGUGACGCGGAGAGAUCUGGGAGGAGGAGCGAUGGACGGGAAGUUGCCGCCGCCGAACCCGAACCUGGCGUACUGGGAGGACUGUUGGAGCGAGGGCGAGAAGGUCGCGCUUGUCGACGCCUGGGGCUCGCGCUACCUCGACCUCAACCGUGGGAGCCUCCGCCAGCCGCAGUGGCGGGAGGUCGCCGACGCCGUCAACUCUCGCCCCGGGGCCUCCGCGCGCCGCUGCCUGCCGCGCACCGACAUCCAGUGCAAGAACCGCGUUGACACGCUCAAGAAGAAGUACAAGGUCGAGUGCGCGCGGCGGGCCAUCGUCGUGGAACUUCUACAGCCAGUUCGACCUCCUCGUCGGGCCCACGCUCACCGGCAUCAAGAAGUUGUCCCCACCGCGCGCCGCGCUGCCUGUGUUCUGGAGGGGGCACUAGUACAAAGAAGUUCUAUAGUGGCGGUUGUAAACCUAUUUAUAGUGGCGUUUUUCGUAACCGCCAGUGCUAGGGGCCAGUAGAAAUCAUCAUUUGUACAGGCGGGUAACUGAGGACCGCCAGUGAAAAUCGAUUUUCACUGGCGGUCGGCGUAAUAAAACCGCCAGUGAAAAUCGAUUUUCACUGGCGGUCGACGUAAUAAACCGCCAGUGCAAAUCGUUUCCAGGAAACAUAAAACAUAUUUUAAAAAUAGUUAAAAAAUUUAUUUU